GACGAGACUCGUUGAUAAUCGAAGGUGGACCGAUGACGCGAUCGAGAGCAAAACAAGUGAAACAAGCGAUGGGAUUGCUCGUUCAAGAAACUUUUGAUGGUACUAUGUUCGGGACUCAAAAUGGGACAAGUUUCGUGUUCGGGUCAAAGGCCGAAACUAAAUGGAUCAAUACAUUACAAGCAGCCGAAGAAAAGAGUGAGUAGUAUAACCAUGCGGUAGCACGGUGCGACCGCACGACAUGAGGCCGAGAAUUCAAUGGCCGAAAUUUUAUUACCAUGCGGCCGCACGAGUUAUAACCAUGCGACAGCAUGGUUGAUUUCUAGGCGCGAUUUUCCUUUUUUUCCGCGUUCUUCCUUAUUUUACUAGAAUUUCAUUCUUAAUCAAACUCCUACCAUAUUGGACGAAUAUUUUAGGGAUUUUGUUAAAUUAUUAGAAUUAUAUUUCCUUUUGACUUCUAUUCUAGGGUUUAGUAUAAAUAGAAAUUUUCAUUCAAUUGUAAAAAACCUUUGACAUUAUUGAUAUUGAAUUAAAGUGAGGCGUAUUGUCUUCUCUUCAUCGUUCUUCAUUGAACAGUUUCGAACUUAUCAAGUGUUAACUUGUGGCGUUCGAACAAUCGGAUUUAAUUCUUGGAUUGCGUGAUCAAGGGGUCUUUCAAGCAUCGUUCUUGUUGUGAUUUUUAGUUCGACUUUCUUUUGGAUUAAUUUGGUUUUCUUGGGUUCGUCAAUCUCGUUGUGGGUUUCGUAGUCAACGUUGCUACUGGGUUCGCAUCAAUUUCCUUUCCUAAUUCAAUUUAGAUACAAUGUCCCUUUCCAAGUAAAAAUCAAAUACGCAAUCUCACAAGACUCCUAAUCAUAUUUCAAGCACAAAACCUAACAAUCUCCACCUUGACUCAAGUUCCGGUGCAACAAGUGAAGCUCUACAAAAUUUCUCCACCUGAGAAAUACAUCAGUUUGCAUCGAAAUGAAAUGGUCCAAAACUCUCCAUAUAAAUCAUUGUCCUCUACACGGCGUCCACAAGCGACAUAUAAAUCCUACUCUCGAGUUCCCAAAAUUUCGCCAAGGAAUUAAUGUUUACCAAACAGCGUCGAAACACACCUUGUAGCAAAAACCAUGCAAAAUGACUGAACAGAAGGUCCUUUGCUAGAAUUGUCGCCUUCAACGUUCCCAAAAACAUUACAGACAUCACUAACACCAUGGUACAUAUGCUCAAU
rnacentral:lncRNA from 1 species